UAACCAGGAUCAGAGACACUGAGGUCCUGACUCCAAGUCCCCCCCACCGUGGCCCCCCACCUCAUCCCAUUAACUGAUGACAACUUCUGAGGAAGACCCCAGUUGUGGUUUAAAGCUCCAGAAGAAUCUAGUUGUAGCAGUCUCUUAAGAGCCUCCCAGUCCAAAACAGAGGGAGCUGCCAUACUGGUUUAUUUACCCAGGUAAGUCAAAGUGAAGUCAGACCCCUCUUUGCACGGGAGACCUGACCUGUAACUUCCAGUUAGCGAGCUAACUUGGGGAGCUAUUGUGACAGCUUAUCACCAGUAUGUUAUCAGUGAGCUAGCAUGUUACCAGCUUGUCAGCUAUGGUGGAUCACCAACUAGCCCUGCUAGUAGUCAUCAACCUUCCAGGACUAUCACUACAGUGCGAGGACGCACGGAGGAAUAUUGCUGUGCAACUUCCCACGCACAAAAAGUUCAGAAAAAGGCUGCAAAGAUAUUGAAAGUACCAUUAAAUUAAUAACUUUGACUUCA